AGCCUUUUCGCGCAUUUUUAGCCAUUUUUUUCGUUUUUGAAAAAGAGGCAAAAAAAUAGAAAAAGUGGCUGAAAAUGGACGAAAAGUUUAAGGCUAUA